rnacentral:misc_RNA from 1 species
GACGGAGGGGGCUAGCGUUGUUCGGAAUUACUGGGCGUAAAGCGCGCGCAGGCGGACUGGAAAGUUGGGUGUGAAAUCCCGGGGCUCAACCUCGGAACUGCCUCGAAAACUAUCAGUCUGGAGUGCGAGAGAGGUGAGUGGAAUUCCGAGUGUAGAGGUGAAAUUCGUAGAUAUUCGGAGGAACACCAGUGGCGAAGGCGGCUCACUGGCUCGAUACUGACGCUGAGGUGCGAAAGCGUGGGUAGCAAACAGG